CAAAACCCAACAGCGCUGUCACGGAUUGAUGGCAUAUUUCUAUAUCGGGUUCUGUUUUGAAGGCGCAUAUGCAGUGGCUGGGUGUUUCUGCGAGGGCCAGAUAUAUAAUGAAGCACUGGCCUUCCUGAUCGUCAUGUGGAUUGUCCCGUUCAUCAUCAUAUGUCUGGUCGCAGCGAUAAUAGACGAGAACUAACCACGUGUAACAGAUGCUGACAACUCAUCACCUCACAGUGAACGAAACAAGUAGUAUGAGGACCGUGACUGGCCAACUCAACAAAUGUACAAGCUGUGAAGUAAAACCGACAUCGCCCUUUCAAAGAAAUAACUUGAAAUGUGAAAAUAUAAUUUUAUCAGAUAAAUCUUUUAUCAUUU